rnacentral:lncRNA from 1 species
CAUUUUUCUAUACGAAUUAUGAUUGUUGUUCUCUCAAUUUCUAGGUCGAUUGGCAUCAGCAUCGACUUAGUACCUUGCAUAAACAAACAAGCAAUACCUUAGUAGCACCGCACCAAACAAAACAAAAAUAAAGUAGAGAUAAAAUAAAAUAAAAUAAAAUUAAAAUUGAAAAUUGAAAAGUAACAAAAACUAAAAAUUUCAAAAACUAAAAAUAUAAGUCGCACUACAAUUGCCUUAUCGAAAUUAUC